rnacentral:rRNA from 1 species
CAACAGGGAUUCCCCUAGUAACGGCGAGUGAAGCGGGAACAGCUCAAAUUUGAAAUCUGGCCCUCGGGUCCGAGUUGUAAUUUGUAGAGGAUGCUUUUGGUGCGGUGCCUUCCGAGUUCCCUGGAACGGGACGCCUUAGAGGGUGAGAGCCCCGUACGGUUGGACGCCUAGCCUCUGUAAAGCUCCUUCGACGAGUCGAGUAGUUUGGGAAUGCUGCUCUAAAUGGGAGGUAUAUUUCUUCUAAAGCUAAAUACUGGCCAGAGACCGAUAGCGCACAAGUAGAGUGAUCGAAAGAUGAAAAGCACUUUGAAAAGAGGGUUAAAUAGCACGUGAAAUUGUUGAAAGGGAAGCGUUUAUCACCAGACUUUUUCUAGGGGGAUCAUCCGGUGUUCUCACCGGUGCACUUCCCCUAGUUGAGGCCAGCAUCGGUUUUCGGAGGGGGAUAAAAGUUUCGGGAAUGUGACUCCCCCGGGAGUGUUAUAGCCCGUUACAUAAUACCCUUCUGGGGACCGAGGUUCGCGCAUCUGCAAGGAUGCUGGCAUAAUGGUGAUCAACGACCCGUCUUGAAACACGGACCAAGGAGUCGAACAUUUAUGCGAGUGUUUGGGUGUCAAACCCUCACGCGUAAUGAAAGUGAACGGAGGUGAGAGCCCUUACGGGUGCAUCAUCGACCGAUCCUGAUGUCUUCGGAUGGAUUUGAGUAAGAGCAUAACUGUUCGGACCCGAAAGAUGGUGAACUAUGCGUGGAUAGGGUGAAGCCAGGAGAAAUCCUGGUGGAGGCUCGCAGCGGUUCUGACGUGCAAAUCGAUCGUCAAAUCUGCGCAUGGGGGCGAAAGACUAAUCG